CCUACGGGAGGCAGCAGUGAGGAAUAUUGGUCAAUGGACGAGAGUCUGAACCAGCCAAGUAGCGUGAAGGAUGACUGCCCUAUGGGUUGUACACUUCUUUUAUAAAGGAAUAAAACGAGGCACGUGUGCCUUUUUGCAUGUACUUUAUGAAUAAGGAUCGGCUAACUCCGUGCCAGCAGCCGCGGUAAUACGGAGGGGGCGAGCGUUAAUCGGAAUUACUGGGCUUAAAGCGCUCGUAGGCGGUAUGUCAAGUCACGGGGGAAAUCCCCGCGUGAACGGGGGGAACUGCCUUUGAAACUGGCAAACUGGAGUGUGUGAGAGGAUAGUGGAAUGCCAGGUGUAGGAGUGAAAUCCGUAGAUAUCUGGAGGAACAUCAGUGGCGAAGGCGACUAUCUGGCACAUAACUGACGCUGAGGAGCGAAAGCGUGGGUAGCAAACAGGAUUAGAUACCCCAGUAGUC
rnacentral:rRNA from 1 species